CUCAUCACUAAUGAUGUCACUUCCAGAAUGCUCUGGACCUGGGGUUUUCCAAAUAACAGGUAUGGACACCCCUGGUUUUGUGCGGUAUACCCUUUAAUGGGUGCAUUACAUUUUCCCCUUUUAUGAUGCCAGUACAGUGGCCACAAUUAUGGCAUGGGAAAAGAUUGGCGGAGAGGAAAAGAGAUUGGCUACUUUUGGAUCCCUCUCCAGGAUACUCCAAUAUUUGAGUAUUGUCUGUUUGAUAAAUUUUGAAUUAAUGUCAUAUGUUGACACGAAAGGAACUCUUUGGAGUGCGUCUAUUUUCUUUUUUUGUUGUAACAAAUUCUCUCUCGGUAUUUUACUUAUUUCUUCCUGAGUAUUUCUUAAGAUCUCAUGUUUGUAACCUCUAUCAAUAAAUUUCUGUACCAUUUUUUCCGACUCUUUUUUGUAUAAUUCAUUCGUAGAGGUUAUUCUCCUCACUCUCAUCAUUUGGCUUUUCGGUAGGCCCUUAAACAAAUUUGGAGCAUGGAAACUUGUAGGUCUUAAUAAGGUGUUGCGAUCAGUGGGCUUAGUGUAUAUUGAGGUGUUGAAUACACCUUCAAUUAGAGAAACAUCCACAUCCAAAAAGUGUAUAUUGGAGGUAUGGUACUCCAAUGUAAAUUUUAUGGUCGAAUGGACAGAGUUA